rnacentral:rRNA from 1 species
GACGUAGGGCGCGAGCGUUGUCCGGAUUUAUUGGGCGUAAAGAGCUCGUAGGCGGCUUGUCGCGUCGUUCGUGAAAACCCGGGGCUCAACCCCGGGCCUGCAGCCGAUACGGGCAGACUAGAGUUCGGCAGGGGAGACUGGAAUUCCUGGUGUAGCGGUGAAAUGCGCAGAUAUCAGGAGGAACACCGGUGGCGAAGGCGGGUCUCUGGGCCGAUACUGACGCUGAGGAGCGAAAGCGUGGGGAGCGAACAGG